ACACACCGUUACCCCUUAAACUGUUUUCCCAUAAAAAUAACAAAACCAAAAAUAUCAAAAUUUUCAUUUAUCUUUUAUCUCGUUGUUGCGGGGCGUUCAUCGGAGGUCUCCUCAAGGGCAGUCGGACGGCAGUUUCACCCUGGAUACAUAUGCAGCACACAGUGUGCUUAUUUUAAAUUGAAGCGAAACAUUUUGGACUGAUUGUUUCAAUUGAAACUGUAAAAUAAAAGUGAGCAACAGCAGCAGCCGGUGGUGGACAUUCCGACGUUGGGCCGGUUAGUCGGUUCCCAGCAACUCUCGUCGGCGUCCAGUCGAAAGUUUCACGCCUUUAUUCAAAGCCAUUCCGUUUGCGCUGCCACCUGUUGGAGAUCUCCGCUUCAAACAGCAACGGUGAGAACGACCGGUUCGGACCCGCAGUUACAUCCUGUAUCGUGACGUCGUCCUGGUGACUAUCAACUAUCGUCUGGGACCUCUCGGUUUUUCUCAGCACCGAAGACGUUGAUGCCCCAGGAAAUUACGGACUCCUCGACCAUCCAGUCGUUAAUUGGCCUUGCGCGGUAUAAUUUCCCGCCAAAUGUAUUUUAAAACUCGUGCUUGGUUUUA